rnacentral:tRNA from 1 species
GUUUUGAUAAUUUAAAUAAAAUAUUGAUCUUGUAAAUCAAAAAUAAGAUAAACUUUCAAAACU